AGAAAGUCUUAGAUCUUUGAGUUCAGCUCAUGAAAAAUGGGGGCAAAAACAAGUGUUGCGUUUAUAAUUUUGUGCAGUGUACAUUUUCUAUUCUGUGUUUUACUGAGCAACUGCUGCAAAAAAAAAAAAAGCUCACUAGCACUGAGGUUCAAGUUCUCCCUGUACCCAGAUUCUCCUCCUGAGAUCGCUGAGGGAGGACAUACUGUAGAGAAUAACGUUGCCUGAGGUACACCUCCAGCAGCAGAGAGGUGAAACUUUGUAUGUGCAGCAUACAUACAGACUACAGGCACCAUGACC